rnacentral:sRNA from 1 species
UAAUGGCCACUGAGCCGUCGACGUCCCC